AGCAGCCGCGGUAAUUCCAGCUCCAAUAGCGUAUAUUAAAGUUGUUGCAGUUAAAAAGCUCGUAGUUGAAUUUCGGGGUCAGUAGGUUGGUCGUGCCACAGGUAUGAACUGGCCUCACUGAUUCCUCCUUCCUGAUGAACCGUAAUGCCAUUAAUUUGGUGUUGCGGGGAGACUGGACUGUUACUUUGAAAAAAUUAGAGUGUUUAAAGCAGGCUAACGCUUGAAUACAUUAGCAUGGAAUAAUGAAAUAGGACGUUCGGUCUUAUUUUGUUGGUUUU
rnacentral:rRNA from 1 species